UUUUUAUGCUAGCACCGGUAUAUUGUCCGAUUAAAAACAAAAAAUACGUUAAUUUAUUAAGACGAAUUUGGUAUAUUUAUGACUACGCCGACACAUAGUCCGGUUUGAAAAAUAUACUCCAAUUUAUUCAGAUGAAUUUGCUAGACUUUGCUAGAGUAAUUUUGAAUUUUGCUUGGACCCCUGUCGCCUCUGAGAAAAGUUUUAAAUUUGUCGUUAGCACCGGCAUGUUGUUGGAUUCCAUACAAAUAUGUGCCAAUUUAUUUAGGCAAUUUCAAUAGAU